rnacentral:piRNA from 1 species
UAGCAGGCUUGGGAGCCCUUGAGGAUGG